GGUUAAGCGACUAAGCGUACACGGUGGAUGCCCUGGCAGUCAGAGGCGAUGAAGGACGUGCUAAUCUGCGAUAAGCGUCGGUAAGGUGAUAUGAACCGUUAUAACCGGCGAUUUCCGAAUGGGGAAACCCAGUGUGUUUCGACACACUAUCAUUAACUGAAUCCAUAGGUUAAUGAGGCGAACCGGGGGAACUGAAACAUCUAAGUACCCCGAGGAAAAGAAAUCAACCGAGAUUCCCCCAGUAGCGGCGAGCGAACGGGGAGCAGCCCAGAGCCUGAAUCAGUGUGUGUGUUAGUGGAAGCGUCUGGAAAGGCGCGCGAUACAGGGUGACAGCCCCGUACACAAAAAUGCACAUGCUGUGAGCUCGAUGAGUAGGGCGGGACACGUGGUAUCCUGUCUGAAUAUGGGGGGACCAUCCUCCAAGGCUAAAUACUCCUGACUGACCGAUAGUGAACCAGUACCGUGAGGGAAAGGCGAAAAGAACCCCGGCGAGGGGAGUGAAAAAGAACCUGAAACCGUGUACGUACAAGCAGUGGGAGCCUCUUUAUGGGGUGACUGCGUACCUUUUGUAUAAUGGGUCAGCGACUUAUAUUCUGUAGCAAGGUUAACCGAAUAGGGGAGCCGAAGGGAAACCGAGUCUUAACUGGGCGUUAAGUUGCAGGGUAUAGACCCGAAACCCGGUGAUCUAGCCAUGGGCAGGUUGAAGGUUGGGUAACACUAACUGGAGGACCGAACCGACUAAUGUUGAAAAAUUAGCGGAUGACUUGUGGCUGGGGGUGAAAGGCCAAUCAAACCGGGAGAUAGCUGGUUCUCCCCGAAAGCUAUUUAGGUAGCGCCUCGUGAAUUCAUCUCCGGGGGUAGAGCACUGUUUCGGCAAGGGGGUCAUCCCGACUUACCAACCCGAUGCAAACUGCGAAUACCGGAGAAUGUUAUCACGGGAGACACACGGCGGGUGCUAACGUCCGUCGUGAAGAGGGAAACAACCCAGACCGCCAGCUAAGGUCCCAAAGUCAUGGUUAAGUGGGAAACGAUGUGGGAAGGCCCAGACAGCCAGGAUGUUGGCUUAGAAGCAGCCAUCAUUUAAAGAAAGCGUAAUAGCUCACUGGUCGAGUCGGCCUGCGCGGAAGAUGUAACGGGGCUAAACCAUGCACCGAAGCUGCGGCAGCGACGCUGAUGCGUUGUUGGGUAGGGGAGCGUUCUGUAAGCCUGCGAAGGUGUGCUGUGAGGCAUGCUGGAGGUAUCAGAAGUGCGAAUGCUGACAUAAGUAACGAUAAAGCGGGUGAAAAGCCCGCUCGCCGGAAGACCAAGGGUUCCUGUCCAACGUUAAUCGGGGCAGGGUGAGUCGACCCCUAAGGCGAGGCCGAAAGGCGUAGUCGAUGGGAAACAGGUUAAUAUUCCUGUACUUGGUGUUACUGCGAAGGGGGGACGGAGAAGGCUAUGUUGGCCGGGCGACGGUUGUCCCGGUUUAAGCGUGUAGGCUGGUUUUCCAGGCAAAUCCGGAAAAUCAAGGCUGAGGCGUGAUGACGAGGCACUACGGUGCUGAAGCAACAAAUGCCCUGCUUCCAGGAAAAGCCUCUAAGCAUCAGGUAACAUCAAAUCGUACCCCAAACCGACACAGGUGGUCAGGUAGAGAAUACCAAGGCGCUUGAGAGAACUCGGGUGAAGGAACUAGGCAAAAUGGUGCCGUAACUUCGGGAGAAGGCACGCUGAUAUGUAGGUGAAGCGACUUGCUCGUGGAGCUGAAAUCAGUCGAAGAUACCAGCUGGCUGCAACUGUUUAUUAAAAACACAGCACUGUGCAAACACGAAAGUGGACGUAUACGGUGUGACGCCUGCCCGGUGCCGGAAGGUUAAUUGAUGGGGUCAGCGCAAGCGAAGCUCUUGAUCGAAGCCCCGGUAAACGGCGGCCGUAACUAUAACGGUCCUAAGGUAGCGAAAUUCCUUGUCGGGUAAGUUCCGACCUGCACGAAUGGCGUAAUGAUGGCCAGGCUGUCUCCACCCGAGACUCAGUGAAAUUGAACUCGCUGUGAAGAUGCAGUGUACCCGCGGCAAGACGGAAAGACCCCGUGAACCUUUACUAUAGCUUGACACUGAACAUUGAGCCUUGAUGUGUAGGAUAGGUGGGAGGCUUAGAAGUGUGGACGCCAGUCUGCAUGGAGCCGACCUUGAAAUACCACCCUUUAAUGUUUGAUGUUCUAACGUUGACCCGUAAUCCGGGUUGCGGACAGUGUCUGGUGGGUAGUUUGACUGGGGCGGUCUCCUCCUAAAGAGUAACGGAGGAGCACGAAGGUUGGCUAAUCCUGGUCGGACAUCAGGAGGUUAGUGCAAUGGCAUAAGCCAGCUUGACUGCGAGCGUGACGGCGCGAGCAGGUGCGAAAGCAGGUCAUAGUGAUCCGGUGGUUCUGAAUGGAAGGGCCAUCGCUCAACGGAUAAAAGGUACUCCGGGGAUAACAGGCUGAUACCGCCCAAGAGUUCAUAUCGACGGCGGUGUUUGGCACCUCGAUGUCGGCUCAUCACAUCCUGGGGCUGAAGUAGGUCCCAAGGGUAUGGCUGUUCGCCAUUUAAAGUGGUACGCGAGCUGGGUUUAGAACGUCGUGAGACAGUUCGGUCCCUAUCUGCCGUGGGCGCUGGAGAACUGAGGGGGGCUGCUCCUAGUACGAGAGGACCGGAGUGGACGCAUCACUGGUGUUCGGGUUGUCAUGCCAAUGGCACUGCCCGGUAGCUAAAUGCGGAAGAGAUAAGUGCUGAAAGCAUCUAAGCACGAAACUUGCCCCGAGAUGAGUUCUCCCUGACUCCUUGAGAGUCCUGAAGGAACGUUGAAGACGACGACGUUGAUAGGCCGGGUGUGUAAGCGCAGCGAUGCGUUGAGCUAACCGGUACUAAUGAACCGUGAGGCUUAACCUU
rnacentral:rRNA from 1 species